rnacentral:lncRNA from 1 species
UUUGUUUUAAUCCAGACCAUUAAAUUUGAUUAAUCAAAGACUCUUUUUUACUAUCCUCAACUUAUUCUCUCAUCCAAUCAAAUAAUCAUAAAAAAAUAAAAAUAUAAGAAAGUUGAGGAUAAUAAACUUGGGCUCUUGAUUAAUCGGAUUCAAUGGCCAUGAUUAAAACAAAGAGUCACACAUUGUCAAUCAUCCGCUUGACAAUUUGUGUUUCUUUGUUUUAAUCUUGAUUAUUGAAUUUUAAUCAAAGACUCUUGUUUACUAUCUUAACCUUAU